rnacentral:misc_RNA from 1 species
CUGAAGAUUUGGUCGCAAGACCGCUCUUCCACCCUUUGUUUACCAUACCAUGUUGCUUUGGCGAGUCGCCCUAGGCCACCGGCUUCGGCUGGUGCGUGCUCGCCAGAGACCUCAAACAACCUGAUUUUUGUGUUUGUCUGAACAACUUUUAAAUUAUUAAAACCUUCAACAAUGGAUCUCUUGGCUCUGGCAUCGAUGAAGAACGCAGCGAAAUGCGAUACGUAAUGUGAAUUGCAGAGCUCAGUGAAUCAUCGAAUCUUUGAACGCACAUUGCGCCCCUUGGUAUUCCGAGGGGCAUGCCUGUUCGAGCGUCAUUAUCACCCCUCAAGCCUAGCUUGGUGUUGGGGCCCGCCCGUCAGGGCAGCCCUUAAAAUCAGUGGCGGCGCCGUCAGGCUCUAAGCGUAGUAAUACUUCUCGCUAUAGAGCCCUGGCGGUCUCUUGCCAAAACCCCUAAUUUUUUAUGAUUGACCUCGGAUCAGGUAGGGUUACCCGCUGAACUUAAGCAUAUCAAUAAGCGAUCGCGUACUUGGUCAUUUAGAGGAAGUAAAAGUCGUAACAAGGUUUCCGUAGGUGAACCUGCGGAAGGAUCAUUAUCGAGUUUUGAACGGGUUGUUGCUGGCCUCAUACGGGGCAUGUGCACGCCUGACUUCAUCCACUCUUCAACCCUCUGUGCACUUAUUGUAGGCUAGCGUGAAAGGUCGCAUUCAUUUGCGGCUGGAAGCCUGUCUACGUUUUACUACAAACGCUUCAGUUAUAGAAUGUUUAUCUGCGUAUAACGCAUUUAUAUA